rfam:Hordeum vulgare subsp. vulgare, WGS project CAJW01000000 data, contig: morex_contig_7501
AUUGUAUUCCCUCUGAUAUAUAUUACUUGUCUUUGAUUUGUCUAAAUACUGAUGUAUCUUGACAUGUUUUAGUGUUAGAUUCAUAUCUAGAAAAAUCUAAGACAAGUAAUAUAGAUCAGGGGGAAUACAUU